UUUGCACCAAAGUGAAAGUGGCUGCGAGUGUAUGAACCCCACAUGUUCUAGUUAUGGCACGCAAUACUUAGCUGUAAAAACUAUAAUAAUGUGAUCCAAUUGCAUUGUUAGAAUAUUAUUAUUGUUUUUUCCUACAUAAGUAUAAUGCAAGACCAAGAAAUCUCAAAUGAAAUGUAUUAAUUUAGGAGGGUAUGAAUUCUGAAACCCCCUUUGGUUUUAGUCUAAAUCUAGGAUUCUUCCAAGGAAGACUUGUUUCUUUUCUCAGUCAUUCUCCACCAACUUUGCAUCUAUAGAAACUUUAAUACAACACUAAGAGCUAGUAGAAGGUCAACAGAAGCAAAUAAUAGCUUAUAGUGAAAGCUCUUUUUGGAUAGCAUAGAAUAUAGACUAAGCAGUAUUAAGAGUGCAACUUCUUAGACCAUAUAUAUAAACAUGGCUUAAUUAAUAUGUAGAAAUUCCAAAACAAAGAUGUAGAACAAACCUAUAAAAAUUAGAAGUGAACAAGAGAGAACACUUGAAUUAUAAGAAUGAGCGACUAAAAAUCAGAAAUUAUUCAUGCACAGCUAGUGGUUAUUCAUCCGGCAGUUUUUAAUUUGCUCAACGAGUGAAGAAAAUGUACUAAAUAAAAUAAUGUCAACGUCUCGACAGCUGAAUAUAUGACGUUAUCAAGAGAUAAUAACCAUUUGCACAAAAACAGGUCUAGCUUGAGAACUCGUAAGUCGUACCGAGCACUUGCCGUCUAUUCCAAUGAACAUCCGAUUUCUGAUCGGAAAUUCUUUGGCAUCUGAUUAGUAUUAAUUUAAAUGUUCCAACAGGGAAUGUGCCCUAUAGUCACACAACUCUAUUAAUGAAUGAAAAAGUCUAUCAAUAAAGCCCAAGAAGAGGCCCAUAAAAAAUCCCAAAAACGUACAAAAGUAUUGGUGGUGCAUGCCUUGGCUGAAAAGAAAAGAGAAAGCUAAACCUAAACAUGGCCGCAAGGAAGAGCUCCGUUUCUUGGCUGAGUGACGACGAAGUAGGCUUAAUCGUCAAGUGGCUCACCAUCUCAGGUGAUAGUAGUAAAUCGUUCUCCGAGGUCUGCAAGCAAUGGUGGAGAGUGGAGGGUCUAAAUCGCACAUCCAUUCGUCUUCUCCAACUCGAUAAUCUCCGGCGUGUACUUCCCAGAUUUCCAAACCUAGUGAAAUUUGAAACAUCCAAAUGUAUCACCAAAGAUGACCUUGAGUUCUUGGCCCAAACAUGUCCCAAAAUCACGAACAUCGACCUUGGGAAACCCAGAGAUGAAUAGAACCUAGGGAUUCUGUUUGAAUCUGGAAGGGUGUGACAGAACCACAGAUUUAGGGUUAGGUUUUCUUGCAAAUGGGUCUUGCUCGAAAACCCUAAAGAAAUUGGUUCUUGCUGGGUGCAGCAGAAUCACCGAUUCCGGGGCCGGUAUUUUGCAGAAGAUGUCUUGCUUGGAAGAGCUGCAUGUCCUUGGACCCGGCGGAGAGGUUCAAUGAAUAUUAUUUUUUUGAUGGGGAGGUUCAGUGAAGAUAGACUUAGAGCAGCCAUGAACAUUCAAACACUCGAGAAACUGAACUUCGGAAAUAAUUGUUACGUACUUGUUGAGAAGAACUAGCUAGCUCGUAACUAUAGCUUUGAUUUGUUUACUAGUGACUACUUUUACUGCUGCACACUGUGUAUGUGUGAACCCUUCUGACUAACUUAGCUUUGAUUUGUUUACUAGAACGUACAUUCAAACACUCGAGAAACUGAGCUUCGGAAAGUAUUAUUACUUCUGGAGGAUAACUCGUAACUAAAGCUUUGAUUUGUUUACUAGAGAGUCAGUGACUAGUUUUACUGCUGCACUUCAAUAUCUCUUCUUAAUCUGAAGGUAUUCAUGAUCAAAUCAGUAAAUUACAAAUUAACGUGUAGGCUGUAGCCUAGCUAAGACCUAAAGAAAACAACAAUUACCAGCUCUCUCAUUAAUUUAUACCAUAUAUAUUUUCGAAUGUUGUUCCACUUAUAACUGUAUGUUCGAGUUCCUAUUCUUUGUUAAACUAACUUACCCUAAAAUGAUUACUAAAAAAAAAAAAAAAAAAAAACUUAACCCUAAAAUGGUCAGGAUAGUUCACUUCGAAUCACCAAGCAGGGUCCUCCAUCAAGCCAGGUCGAUCGCUUUUGUUAUUCACGAACUUCUAGUCGUUACUGUGAUCAAAACCAUACCCUGUAUAUAUCACCAUCAACUUUAACAUAUGCAUAUAGAAUUCCUUUAGAUCGAUUUACAGAAAAACAAAUACAAAUAGUUCCCUAAACCCAUUUCAGCAAACAUGGAUGCUAUGAUGAAGAAGUUGUCCACCAAAGUCCUAGAGAUGCUGCUACAUCCUUAUUCUAUGCGCAUUCACACAAGCGGCCAUCAUCCCCAGAAGAAGAGAACUAGAGAAGGCAUCAAUGCAUGCAUCAUGUAGCCGGCCGCAAGGUGAAACGUACCAGCCCACGCUAUGAGGGAAACGCUCGAAAUGCCAUAUAUGUUUGCCAUCGAUCUUCUAAAAUAUGUAGUGUAACACGUACAACUUGAGGAGAUCAAAUUAACAGGCGCGUGAUGAAGCUCUGAAGCCUCAUUCGGGAUGGAUUCAUGAACUUUGGUUUGGCAUGGCUUUCGGUGUGUUUUCUCAUAGUAAAUUUAAGCACAUUCUAAACACCUUACGAUGAAGCAUCGUCAUUGAUAGUCGCAUAUUUGUGCGACUUUUAUCAUGCUAAUUAUUCUUAUUACUUAGUUAUUUUGUGAUGUUUUCCUAUUUUUAAUUAACUUUAUUUGUUUUUAGGUGUUUUGAAGUCAAACAAAGAAAAUGAGAUAAUUGGGCUUAAUUAGGAUCCCUAAUCCUAGUUGGGUUGGUGAUGGAAGACAUAUAGGUUAACUAACCUAUUUCUACGUGAAAAGGGAGGGGAGAAAGAGACGAACAAGGGAGACAAAAAGAAAGGGAGCAGCCGAACCAAAGAGGGAGAAAGAGAAGAAAGAAAGAGAAGAAAAAGAGAGAGAAAGAGAAGAAAGAAAGGAGAGGAAAAAGAACUCGAUCGGCAAAAAUCUUCUUCAAUCAAGUUUUCUUCUUCUCACCCUUAUUUCAUAUUCCAUGUAUUCUCUGAUGUUCUUAAUCAAGAUUAUGUGUAACUAAACUCCUUAGUAGUUAGGGGCUGAUCAAAGCCCUAGGUAUGUCUUCGAUUUCAAACCCCAAUUGAUUUAUAUAAUUUUAGAUGAGAAUUUCUUCACUGAUUGUUCAUUGAUAAUUCUAUUGCAUGUUUCAUUGAGUCGACACUUUGAUGCAUGUUUUAGGGUUUAUUAUUUUGAAUAUGUUUAUGACUGACAUAUCGUUGCAUAUUCUAUGAGAGAUAACAAGUUCUUUCCAGGUACUUGUGUGAAGUGAUUCCUUGGUAAUCUAAGGCUACCGACAUUGACCUUAGAUUCUUUGUUGCUACUCAAAUGUUCUUAGAUCUUUAUGAUUUCAGUUAUUUUGGUCUAGAUACCGACAUUUCAUAGAUCAAUUAAUUGGGAAUAUAGUUAAGUCGAUACCGACAUUUCACUUAACAUGGCAAGUAAGAGAACGUAAUAUGGUUAAUGACCUAACGACAUUGGCUUAACUGUGAGUGCAUUCAUCUUUAGUCAUUGACAUUGUUUUGGGGUGAUUGAAGCGUAUCUAGUGGUGGAGAGAAGUUCCUGGCUAUUGUUUCUCUCAUAUUUACAUCCAUAUUCACUUUUUAAUAUUCUGUUUUCAGCAGUACUUCUGUUUUAUCUAUUUUUGUUCAUCAAUCAAACCAACUCCGAAUACCCUCAAAAUUUGUGUGGUAGUCCGCCACUGUGUCUAGUUACUGUGUAUUUAAUUUCAUAAUUUUUGGUUCAGUCUAGAUUAGCUAAUUAAUUAGGUUUUGCUCCUAGGUCGAGUCUGCCAGAUUUCUGGUUUACGCGUCUGUUUGUGUUUCUUGUGUGUUUAAUUCUUAGUAUCACCAAUCCUCUGUGGUAAUGACCCCUAUUUGCCGUUUACUACAUUGAUAUAAUUGAUUUGAUAAUAGGGUAUCUUUGUAGGUGCUUUGCGCCUAUCAAAUUUUGGCGCCGUUGCCGGGGAUUGUUUAAUUCUAAGUCUUAAAAGUGUCUUUGUUUUUAGUUUUGUCUUUGUUUACUUUAUUUUUCUUUUUGUAGUCUUACGUCUAUACUUGUGUGCAGGAGCAUUGUGUAUGCAUACUCGUCACUCUACAAGCUCUGAACCACUGUUAUUUGAUCAAGAGAUUGAGAGAGCAGCAAAACAAAACAGGAAACAGCAGAGACUACAGGUGAACACGAGUAACAGUGGUGGUGAGAAUUCUGAGCCUGAACACCAUUCUGAUUCAGAGAUCGAGGAACUGGAAGAGCAACAUAUUCNNNNNNNNNNNNNNNNNNNNCUUUGGAAGCUAUGAUGCAACAAAUGAUGUUUGAUAGCAAAAGGAAAGAGAGGAAAGCAGUGCCUUCCGCCAUGAGAUCAAGUCCACCACUCAGCAACAAGGGAAGGCAAUUGACUUGUUAGAGCGCCAAGUGAGCCAAAUCCAACAAACUCUUGCUCAAGUCAACCCAGGACGUCUUCCCAGCAGCACUCUUCCUAAUCCUAAGGAUCAACAUGAAGUCAAUGCAAUGGUUCUGAAAAGUGGGAAGGUGUUGGAUGCAGUUCCAGUGGUCAAGAAGCCAAGAAGAAAGUGGGAAGAGCCUGUAUUAGAGCAGAUCAUGCCUGAGGAGCCAUCAAAAGUCAGUCUAGGCACCCCAACCCAAUCCGUUGAGGAAUUCUCUCAACCUGUUGAGAAUGCACCUAGAACAAAAGUUGAGUCAAGAUCAAAACCAGCCACGGUAUGUCCCUUAACCUCACCUUUGAUUAUCACUAAUGUGCCUUUUCCUAGCAGGUUACAGAAACAGGUGAAAGAGGAAAGGACAAGGAGAUCCUAGACGUCUUCAAGAAGGUUGGGGUGAAUAUUCCAUUGUUGGAUGUGAUCAAGCAGAUUCCUCAGUAUGCAAAAUUCCUCAAGGACUUGUGCACUACAAAGAGAAAAUUCAAAGGAACCGAAACAGUUGCCUUGAGUGAGAGGGUGUCCGCUGUACUGCAAAGAAAGUUGCCACCAAAGUUAGGUGAUCCGGGACGUUUCACUAUUCCAUGCACUAUUGGUGAUCACAGGUUUGCUGGUGCUCUUCUUGAUUUAGGUGCCUCCAUAAAUUUAAUGCCAUAUGCCGUGUAUGAUAGAAUGAAUAUGGGAGAACUUUUACCUACUGGGAUAACCAUUAAACUUGCUGAUCGAUCUAACUGUUACCCUAGAGGUAUUAUAGAAGAUGUGUUAGUACAGGUUGGUGAUUUGAUUUUUCCAGCGGAUUUCUUUGACAUAUGCAAACUAUCGUUAUGCUUGACAUAUGCAAACUAUCGUUAUUAAUAUUGUCAACCUAAUUAAUAGAUUUGAGUCAUUUGACAAAUAUCGAUCAUAGAGAACCAUAUGCAUUGUUAAGAGAUUGGACUCUCCAAGUUCAUAGUCAAACACAUGCUUAGUUGAUCAGGAAUUAUGUUGUAUGGGGAACAAAUCAAAUCUUUGUAUCAUUGCAACCUCAAAAAGCCAGUCAUUGGCUCAAAAGUAGGGGCUAGGCAUGCACGUCAUGCUGAGUGCAGUAGUCACCUUGUAUUAUAAGUUUAUAACUUCACUUGCAUCCAAUCAAAUAUUGACUUGGACUUCAGGACCAGUAAUCCCUCUUUCUUUCUUGUUAUUAUUAUUUUUUUUUCUGAUAUCACUAUCAAAAUUGACUAUAUUAUUCAUCCACAACACCAAUUAAAUACCCUCCCAUGCCAACAUUUGUCUGUCUGAGGACUAAUGAAAAAUUAAGAAACUGAUCGAGCUUUUGACAUGGCAAUAUUCAACUUGUAGAAUACAUGAAUCCAUGAAAUUUUGUGGAAAAUGGUGCCUUUUGACUCUCUCUUGAUGAUCAGGACUAAAACAUACAAAUUAGCAGACCUUAUCACUUGGAGGGAAAUAUCUUAAUUAAUACAUUCUUAUGCUUCUAGAGAAGGGUUUGAAAGGUCAGAUAUCACCAACUUAAGAAAAUAUAUAUUAGCUUUUUCAUAAAAGGUUAUGUCUUAUUAAUAACAUGUAGCAUUGUGGAUGCUGCAUAUAUACAUGGUGCCUUCAAAAUCAUGGACUAGAAGAAAUUAGCAUUAAUUUACGCACAGAUUAAGGCAUUAAGAGUUUAGGUUGAUCUUGUCGAGAUAUGAAUCCAUAUCGGGAAUAAUUGAGGGUGAAUGAUCAAACUUGAUGAAGAAAUAAUUGCAGGGUGUAUAAAAGGGUACAAGUAUAACUUGGAGUUGUAGCAAUGAAGAUGUAGUUUGAUCCUGCUACUACUACCACCAUUUCACCAAAGCAAAGUGAAUUGCUUGCUACUCGAUCUUUUAUUUUUGAUAAAAGAAAGAAUAUAUUAGAUGAAGGUGCCUCUAAUGCACCCAAGGUUUACAAUGUCAAAGAUAAGAGCAGAAGACACUUUCAGGGGAACACACUCCUCCCAGCAGUAUAGGUUACUCAGCCUAUGUCCAAGAUUGGCUAAAACAUUAGCCACAAAUUUGCUUGCUACUCUUUGACUGCAUACUUUUCAGUUGUUAAUUAAUAGCUGACAAUCAUAUAAAUCCAUAUGUAUCAUACGAGCAAAACCCCAAAAGACUUUGUAGAAAGUUACAAACCCAGCUGUCUUCUAGACACCUUUUCUACACAAGCUUAUACCAACAUUAGAACUUUCCACUUUAUCAUGAACUUAAAAUUUUGGAUUAAUUACAAAAUACUACCCGAACUAUGAUGUUAUUUUCAUUUUCAUACCUAACUAUCGAAAACUUGCAUUUUCAUAUCCGAAGUUUCAUUCCGUUAGCAUUUUGAUACCCUGACUAUUAACAUUGUUAAAUUUUGAGGGCAUUUUCGUCAUUUCAAUAAAUAUAUCAUUUUUUACAUUUACUUUAACAAAAUAAUUUAUUUUUUGACGUUAUCAAAUACAAAUAGAUAGAACAAUUUACUUUAGCAAAAAUAUUCAAAAAAAAACUCCAAAANNNNNNNNNNNNNNNNNNNNAAUUGUUUUAUUUGUAUUUAAUAACCUCAAAAAAUAAAUUAUUUUGUUAAAGUAAAUGUAAAAAAUGAUAUAUUUAUUAAAAUGACGAAAAUGCCCUCAAAAUUUAACGAUGUUAAUGAUUAGGGUAUCAAAAUGCUAACGGAAUGAAACUUCGGGUAUGAAAAUACAAGUUUUCGAUAGUUAGGUAUGAAAAUGAAAAUAACAUCAUAGUUCAGGUGGUGUUUUGUAAUUAAUCCUAAAAUUUCAGUUCACACUGUGUAUGUGUGAACCCUUCUGACUAACUUAGUCAUUCCUUCUGCUAUAAAUAUAGCACACCAUGUUUGCUUCCCUCACCAAAUCUCUCUUUUUCCUUUUUUAGAGAAUCUAAAAAUUUCCUUUCUUCUUCUUCUUCUGAUUCUACUCAGUUUGUAAUCAAAGCUCUUUUUGAUCUUCAAUUGCUCACACUGUCCCUCAGAAUUCAGCACCAUGGAAGCUCAAUACAGCCCAAGGAAGCCAGAGCCAGUUCAGGCAAGAAUUCCUCCACCUAGAGGUCUAGUUAAAAUCAGAAUCUUCAAAAAGCUGUUUUUGAAGGUAAAGAGUGCAGCAUCAAUUGUAACUGGAAUGAGAAAAAAGAAAUGAGGAGGAUGCAGUUGAAGAUUCAGUCUCUACAUGCACGUAUAUGAGGCCAUUUUAAUUAGUUUAAGUGGGAAGCAUCAUCAAUACUAUAGUUAUGUAAGAGUUCUAAGCCAUAUUUGGUGGCAAGCUAUGGAUUUUGUAGAUUGGGGACUUUAGAAGUGCAUUUUCAUUUCAAGCUUUAGUAGUUGUGGUUGUUUAUGCUUAGAGCUAGAUGUGAUCACAUCGGAAUAAAAUAAGACAGCAGCGGUCAUGAUUAGAGUUCACCUGUUUCAAUCACAUAUAGUUAAGAAACAUAUUUCUCUUUUUUAUGUAAUAUGGUAUUUAGCAAGGUUACUAUGUAACUGUGUGGUUGCUGCUUUGGCCUCCUAAUAGUAUUUAUAUCAAUCUCCUUUGGGUAAACUAUGUCUGAUCGGUUCAUCAAUAACUCGAUCAUACAUUAUAUUGUUUAGAGAUUGUUGGUAUUGUUGUUUAAAUCGAUUUUUUUCCAAAGAACCAUUAUGUAUUGCUUUCUAGAAAAGCACCUAUAUGUGGAAGCACUUUCAAAUGGAACACUGUAAUCUCUAACAAUCCUCUCAUCUUGGUUGCAGUACACCGGUCAAACCCAAUUUGUAUUAACAAAGACAUUAUAUGAUGUGAUCCAUGUCAUUUGUCAGAUGUGGUUUUGCUUGGGUAUAACAACCUAGUUACAGUAUCCCUUUGUCUAUUCUAACAUUUGUCUUUGGUCCAACUCAGGAAUCCCCCACUUUGCAUUCACACUACAUGGAGCCUAUUGUUUGCUUCAAUCCAACUUAUCUAUGUCAUGAGCUCCCUCCAACACAACCAUAUGUAAUAUUUAAGCUCUGAAGAUUCAGAUUUCCUUGAUUUUAUUGUGAUCCAAGUCUCCGACACCGAUCACAGUGUCCCUUCACACCAGAAUUAACGUUAAAAUUCUUGAUACCAGAAUCCUAUAAGCCUUCAUCUUAUAAUUCUCUCAAGCUACCAAGUCUAGAUACAGUGAAUGAUUUCUAUCCAAAUGUUUUCUUAGCUUUCCUGUUGAUUUCACAGUUCGUCGGAAUCUCUACUUGGUUGAUUCUUAUACAUCUAAGUUCCUACUAUAUUACACUUCUUUUCUCAGUCAUUCUCCACCAACUUUGCAUUUAUAGAAACUUGAAUACAACACUAAGAGCUAGUAGAAGGUCAACAGAAGCAAAUAGUAGCUUACAGUAAAAGCUGUUUUGGACAAUAUAGAAUAGAGUAAGCAGUAUUAAGAGUGCAACUUCUUAGACCAUAUAAACAUGGCUUAAUAUGUAGAAAUUCCAAAACAAAGAUGUAGAACAAACCUAUAAAAAUUAGAAGUGAACAAGAGAGAACACAUGAAUUAUAAGAAUGAGUGACUUAAAAUCAGAAAUUUAUGCACAGCUAGUGGUAAUUCAGGUUGUUUUUAAUUUGCUCAACCAGUAAAAAAAAUGUUCUAAAUAAAAUAAUGUUGACGUCUCAACGACUGAAUAUAUGAGGUUAUCGUAAGAGAUAAUAACCAUUUGCACAAAAACAGGUCUAGCUUGAGAACUCGUGAGUCCUACUGAGCACUUGCCAUGCCAGUCUAUUACAAUCAACAGCCGAUUUCUGAUCGGAAAUUCUUUGGCAUCUGAUUAGUAUUAAUUUAAAUGUUCCAACAGGGAAUGUACUCUAAAAAUUAUAGUCUAUCAAUAAAGCCCAAGAAGAGGGCCAUAAAAAAUCCCAAAAAACGUACAAAGAAUUGGUGGUGCAUGCCUUGGCUGAAAAGAAAAGAGAAAGCUAAACCUAAACAUGGCCGCAAGGAAGAGCUCCGUUUCUUGGCUGAGUGACGACGAAGUAGGCUUAAUCCUCCAGUGGGUCACCAACUCAGAUGAUAGAAAAUCGUUCUCGGAGGUCUGCAAGCAAUGGUGGAGAGUGGAUGGUCUAAACCGCACAUCCAUUCGUCUUCUCCAACUCGAUUAUCUCCGGCAUGUACGUCCCAGAUAAUUGAGAUUGCUAAACUUGGUGAAAUUUGAAACAUCCAAAUGUAUCACGCGAGAUGACCUCGAGUUUUUGGCCCAAACAUGUCCUAAAAUCAAGAACAUCGGCCUUGGAAAACCCAGAGAUGAAGUACAAACAGAACCUAGGGAUUCUGAGAUCGAUGUUAUGUAUGCUUUGGCACACAGCUUCUCGAAGUUGUCGAGGGCCGGGUUUCUUUGAGAAAUAGAGGCUACAGUGGGGGAGCUAUUACUCCGUUCAUAAAAGCACAUAACAAUUUGAUGUAUUUGGACUUGGGGUAUUGCUGUGUGUUAGAUGAAACCCUUGAAGCGAUUGGGUCGUUGAGUUGUCUAUUCUAUUUGAAUCUGAAGGGGUGUGACAGCAUCACAGAUUUAGGGUUAGGUUUUCUUGCAAAUGGGUCUUGCUCGAAAACCUAAAGAAGUUGGGGAUUGCUGGGUGCAGCAUUCCGGGGCCGUUCUUUUGCAUCAGUUCUCUUGCUUGGAAGAGCUGUCCUUGAACGAGGCGAACAGGUUUGGUGGAGAGCAGUCCUGAACAUUCAAACACUCGAGAAAGUGAGCUUGGGAAAGUUUUGUUACUUUGUGAGGAGAACUAGCUAGCUCGUAACUAAAGCUUUGAUUUGUUUACCAGUGAGUACUUUUACUGCUGCACAUCAAUCUCUUCUUAAUCUUAAGGUAUUCAUGAUCAGAUCAGUAAAUUACAAAUUAACAUGUAGCCUAGCUAAGACCUAAACAAACAUGUUUAACAACAAUUACCAGCUUUCUCAUUUAUGCCAUAUAUCUUUUUGAAAGUUGUUCCAUUUAUGUUAUCUCCUUAUAAUUUUGUUCGAAUUCCUUUUCUUUUUAAAAUUUGGUUAGCAACUUUUAUAAUUUUGUUCGAAUUCUUUUUUUUUUUGAAAUUUGGUUAGCAACUUUAAUGUAAUUUACUAAUUAACUUACCCUAAAUUGGUCAGGAAUUCGGGAUAUAUAGUUCACUUUGAAUCAUCAAACAAGGUGCUUCAUCCAACCAGCUCGCUUUUGUUAUUCACGAACUUCUAGUCGUUACCGUGCUCAAAACCAUACCACCCUGUAUAUAUCACCAUCAACUUCAACGUAUGCAUACUGGAACGCACGCAUAUAUAAUUCCUUUUCAUUUCUUUGCCCAUAGAUUUACAGAACUAUAACGUACGAGUACAACUAGUCCCCUAAACCCAUUUCAGCAAACAUGGAGGCUAUGAUGAAGAAGUUGUCCACCAAAGUCUACGUACUGACACUUGUUCUAUGCGCAUCAACACAAGCGACCAUCAUCUCCCCAGAAGAAGAGAAGGCUUGCAUCAUGUCGCCAGCCGCAAAGACGGCAUAGGCGGAGGUACAACUCAAAAAUUUGGCUUUACAUGUAUUUGGCAUUUGAAAUCUAGCUGAAUUGAAGAAAUUUGUUAAUGAUGACACCUCUCAUUUCUAAUCUCUGGCUCCGCCUAUAACGGCAAAGUGCUUUGUCAACAAAUUUCGAUCUCUUAUAAUAAUGGCAACAAAUUAACAUCGAUCUCCUGUACAGGUGUGUAAUGAAGCUCUGAAGCUCAUUCCGGAUGGAAUCAUGAACUUAGGUUUCGCAUGGCUUUUGGUUUGUUUUCUCAUAGUAAUUAAACUUAAGCUCAAUCUAAAUUCCUUACGAUGAAGCAUUGUCAUGCUUAACUUAUCUGCAAGUAUCACACUCUAUAGAUAAAGAUUAAUUACAAAAGACCCCUUGAACUAUAGGGUCACUUUGAGUUUGAUACCCAACUUCUGAAAUCUUACGUUUACAUACCUGAAGUUCUCCCCGUUUGACAAAUUAGUACCUCCGUCGGUCACCCCAUCAAUUUAGGGCGUUUUCUACUGACAUGGCACCCCUGGGUCCCACAACUGUCAGAUUUAUAUCAGAUUUGAGGGUGUUUUCGUCUAUUUGGCUGUCUUUCCCGAACUUGACUACAUCUGCCAAACCACAACCCAGCAAUACAGUGAUGCGAUUUCAUUCAAAUUUAAAGCCAAAUCACAGCGCAGCAAAAUCAUUAAUCAACAAAACUCUGCUAUCUCACCAAAAAAAACAGAGCACUUAAGCUUAAAAAAAGACAAAGCCAAAUAACAACCCAGAAAAUAAACUAGAACUUGGCAAAGAAGAUUUAAGCAAAAGAUUCAGAAUAAUCCAUUGCCAACAAAAGGACAAGACAUGAGUUUAACAUCCACACAACAUAUAUUACAUCAUUCAUGCUCAAAAGAACUCAAAAUCACUGACCUCAUUGGCAUAAGAUAGCAAAAAUCACUUGCAGAAAGAACCAAAGUCCCACCAGAGUUCAAAAUACUACAUGUACUUGAUACUGGCAUUCUUUGGAUGUGGUUUUCAUGGACAAAAGAUAUAAACCAAUAUAUCGUACCUUCUUAUUUCCUGUUGUUUUCUUUUCUUUUCUUUUUUUGUUCCUGAUGUUUACUGUCAUGAGGAUGAGACUCGAUCAGCAAGACUAUACAUCCAAAGAGCAAGUCAAUAACCAUAACAAAGUGGGUUCUUUAAAUCGCAGCUAUCAAUGUUCACAAGUGGCUCCUCCACACAUCCUCCAUUUCGACCUCCUUCUGAAACAACAAAUUUUCAAUUGAAUCAGUACAAUCACUACAAUGUGUUUUGCCGAUUAACACAGACAAUCCAAAAGACUUACACAGGAAGAAAGACAUUGGCUUCAUUAAUUUGCUCCUGCUUGUUCUAAGAACAUUGGCUAUGGCUAGUCAGUUUGGUUUUGUGGCUUGAAUUCCUCAUCUAUGAAUAUAAAUCUCAAAAACUAUCUGAGGGUUUCUUAAUUUCCUGUUCAUGAAUCACACUACCCAUCAGAUAAGAUAAAACAGAAUUGCUCAUCUGUUUGGAAUUACACCAAUACAUUAAAAUUCAAGUCUCUUCCGCUACGAAAAUAAAACUAAUCAAAUCCAAUCCAAAAUCAAUACAGCAGAAAAAGAAUGAGAUAUACCUUUCCAGACACAAAGCAGACAAUGCAACAGAGAGACUUGCAGCCAUCGCAGGUCUUCUGCUUGUCCUUGGAAGGGGCAGAAGAGUCUUUUAACCAGCUUUCGGCGACUGAGCGCCGCUCUGCGCGGCGGAUUUGGCGAUCCUUCUCCACCCAUUUCAGCUCGUUGAUCGACGGAGCGUAGUGAUCAAACCCCAGGCCUCGAAGAAUUGUAAAAUCGAGAUGACAUCGCCAACUAGGGUUUUGCGGACGUCGGCGACAAUGAGGGGGCGGCCGGGGUUGGGGUUUUCGCCCGGCGAGCAGAAGUUGAAGAAUUCAGAUCGGAGCAGGGUUUGGCAGAUAUAGUCAAGUUCGGGAAAGACAGAGCCAAAUAGACGAAAACACCCUCAACUCUGAUAUAAAUAGAACAGUUGUGGGUCCCAGGCAUGGCCACCCUGACUGAAGUACUAACUUGUCAAACGGGAGAACUUCGGGUACGUAAACACAAGAUUUCAGAAGUUGGGUAUCAAACUGAAAAUGACGCCAUAAUUCAGGAGAUUUUUUUGUAAUUAAUCCUAUAGAUAAUGGUCAAGUUUGGCAACUUAAUUUACAUUGUUUUCAGUGGGGAUCCCAUUGCUUAAUACCACUUCAGCUCAGAAUCGAUACCGAUUAGGGUACCAAUUAAUUACCACAUAAUCAAGGUUUCCAAGUGCCCACAGAUUAUAGUUGAAUGAGUCCAAUCUUUGUCAAGACCCUCUAAACUGCCGUAUAUUGCAUCAAACUUUUAUAGUCAUCUCAUAAUCUAGGAAGAUUUAUUAUUUGUAUGCGUUAAUAAUAAAUAACCUCUUUCUCAGGAAACUAAGAACUCCAUAUAUGUCACCAAUAUCAUUAGACUCUUCCAAGUUCAUAGUCGAUCAAACAUGGAUUUUCCGAUCAGGAAUUAGGUUGUAUGGGGAACAAAUCAAAUCUUUGUAUUAUUGGAACCUCAAAAAGCCAGUCAUCGGCUCAAAAGUAGAGGGUUAUAUGCAUGCACAUCAAGCUGAGUGCAGUACAGCAGUAGUCACCUUGUAUUACUUGCAUUCAAUCAAAUAUUGACUUAGACUUCAGGACCAGUAAUCCCUCUUUCUUUCUUGUUUUUAUUUUUUUUGAUAUCACUAUCAAAAUUGACUAUAUUAUUCAUCCACAAAACCAAAUACCCUCUCAUGCCAACAUUUGUUUGUCUGAGGACUAAUGAGGUUUCACAUUCUUUUCACAGAAAAAUUAAGAAAACUGUCAUAAUCCAAUGGGGUCUAGCUUGAUUGAAGAUGAGGUGGUUGAGCAUUUGACAUGGAAAAUAUUCAUCUUGAAGAACACAUGAAAUUUUGUGGAAAAUGGUGACUUUUGACUCUCCCUUGAUGUUCAUGACUAAAACAUACAAAUGAGCAGACCUUAUCACUUGGAGGGAAAUAUAUUAACAUUCUUCUUCUGCUUCUAGAGAAGGGUUUGAAAGGUCGCAUAUUAUCCUUAUUUGCAUACAGUGCCUUCUAAGUCACCAACUUGAGAACAAAAAAAAAAGCAUUCUCAUAAAAGGGUAUGUCUUAUUAAUAACAUGUAGCAUUAUGAUGUCUUCAAAAUCAUGAACUAUAAGAAAUUAGCAUUUAUGCAUAAAUUAUGGCAUUAAGAGUCUAGGUUGAUCCUGCCACUAAAGAGACAUAUAUCAGUUCCUCUGCUUGGUUUAAUUACAGUUUAUGACUUAUUUAUAGCAUUAAGAUAAUAAGAUCCAGAUUGAUCCUAGUCAUCCUACCACAAAACAAAAAGAAUAAAAAUGUAACAGCAUUCUUCCUAUAUAUGCUUCUAGAAGAAAUUUGCAGGGUGUAUGAAAUUGAAGAAAUAAUUGCAGGGUGUAUAAAAGGGUACAAGUAGAACUUGUAGAUGUAUUUUGAUCCUGCUACUGCUACUGCUACUACCAUUUCGUCAAAGCAAAGUGAGUUGCUUGCAACUCUUUGACUGCAUACUUUUCAGUUGUUAGUAGCUGACAAUCAUAUAAAUCCAUAUGUUAAGCCUUUGAAACCAUAAAAUCAUAUGUUAUUACAAAACCCCAAAAGACUUUGUAGAAAGUUACAAACCCAGCUGUCUGCUAGGCACCUUUUCUACACAAGCUCAGACCAACAACAGAAUUUUCCACUCUAUCAUGAAUUUAAAAUUUCAGUUCACACUGUGUAUGUGUGAACCCUUCUGACUAACUUAGUCAUUCCUUCUGCUAUAAAUAUAGCACACCAUGUUUGCUUCCCUCACCAAAUCUCUCCUUUUCCUUCUUUAGAGAAUCUGAAAAUUUCUCUCCUCUUCUGAUAUUGCAGUUGCUCACUCUCCCCCUCAGAAUUCAGAACCAUGGAAGCUCAAUACAGCCCAAGGAAGCCAGAGCCAGUUCAGGCAAGGAUUCCUCCACGUAGAGGUCUAGUUAAAAUCAGAAUAUUCAAAAAGCUGGUAUUGAAGGUAAAGGGUGCAGCAUCAAUUGUAACUGGAAUGGGAAAAAAGAAAUGAGGCGGAGGAGGAUGCAGUUGAAGAUUCAGCCUCUACAUGGAGAUAUUUGAGGUCAUUUUAGUUGAAGUGGGAAGCAUCAUUAGUACUGUAAUUUGUUAUAGUUCUGGGCCAAUGGUGGCAAGCUAUGGAUUAUGUAGAUCCUGUAUUGGGGACUUUAGAAGUGUAUUUUCAUUUCAAGCUUGAGUAGCUGUGGUUUUUUAUGCUUAGUGCUAGCUAGAUGAGAUCACAUCAGAAGAAGAUAGAAACAGAAUGCCAUGCCAGCAGGGCCAUUACUGAUAAGAGUUCACCUGUCUGUAUCACAUAUAGUUAAGAAACAUAGUUCUCUUUGAGUCUUUGUUAUGUAAUGUGGUUGAGCAAGGUACUAUAUGUAAGUGUGAGGUUGCUGCUUAGCCUCCUGAUAGUAUAUAAAUUUAUCUUUUAAGGGUAAAUCUGUUCAUCAGUUUAACCAUAUAUUGUUUGGGGGCUUUUGGCAUUGCUUGUUUCCACCGAUGUUUUGCAAAGGACCACCCUUUAGUGCUUUAUAAUCUCUAAGUUGAAUUUGCCAGUCAAACCAAUUGUCUUAACAAACAGACAUUAUCUGAUGUGAUCCAUGUCAUAUGUCAGAUAUGGUUUUGCUUGGUGUAAGUGUAUAACAAUCCAGUUACACUAGCUAUCGCUUUGUCUAUUAUUUGUUUCUGGUCCAACAUAUCAUUGUCUGGUCAGGAAUCCUCCCUUUGCAUUCACACUACAUGCAUCCUAUUACAGAUACACAUGCUAUGUAGUGGAUCAUUCCAUUCCACCAAUACAUGGUUCUAUAUGUAUUUAUGCAGUACCAGAAGAUGAUUUGUAAACAAAUGAAAGAUGGAAAGAGAAAGAAACAUAGUAGACAUAAUCAUAAACUCAAAAAUCUUACAUAAGAAAUAAGAUAGUAGAAAUAAAGUCUCAAAUUAGUCCUACUUAAGCCAAUCCUAGUAGACAUAAUUAUAAACUCAAAAGACAUACAUAAGAUGGUAGAAAGAACAAAUCUUGGCAGGGGUCCUACUUAAGCCAAUCCUUGGCACAGAUAAGAGCCUCAAGACUUGAAGGAGACAAGGAACUAUGGAUAGUUUUGACGGCGGUAGUAUCAAAAACAUAAUCAUAAUCAAGGGUGGACACUGGUAACGCCAACACAUCACAAGCCAUCCUAGACAGAGUCGGGUAUUUGGCCUUGUUUUGUUUCCACCAAACCAAAACAUCAAAUCCUCCUCUUCUCCCCCUUGUGCUGUAUACAACAUCUUCAAGGUACUGGUCAAGCUCUGACAACUCAGCAAACUUCCUCUUGCGAGCUCUUUCGCUCAUUUUCCAUUCUUGAAUCAUAAGAUCAAAAUUAUCAGUAAGGGAAAGAGGAGCUGAAAGAGGAACAAAAGGCUGAUCUUCAUGUGAUGUACUUGGAGACUCUCUUUUGAUGGUUUCCACACUUCCAUCUUUUGUUGGUGUUUCUUCUUGCAUAGAAUAUUCUAACCAUAGCCUGUGCAUUGCAUCACGAACACUCUCCGCUCGUUCCUUUGCCUGCUCACCAUAUAUUUGACUGAAUUCUUGGUGCAAUGUUGUCAAUUUCACUCUCGGAUCGAGAAUAUAAGCAAUUGCAAGGAGAUUAUAGCAGCUUUCCCAAUAUUUUUCAAACUUUUGGUGCAAAGGCGUGGUCAAGAGUUUGAUAAAUGGAUCCUCACUAUUAGCUGCACGCUUCAAUUCCCCUUGAAUUUUGGCCACUACUGGGAAGAAUGCAUCUGCGUAAGCAUAUUGGUGGGCAUUCACCAUUUUGGUUGCUUGGAAGAAAUAGUUCAUGUAUGUGAUUAAGGUUUCUACUUGCUUCCGCUCCUCAAUAGAUACAACUAUCUUGUAAUCAAGAUCAUUCGAACUCAAACAACCAAAGACAUUCUUCAAUUUCAAUGCAACAACCAGGGACGGAACCACAGUAAAAGCUGUAUGGGCUACAGCCCAACCGAAAUUUGGGCCAAAAAACCCCUAGGUAUAUAUAUAUAUAUAUCACAGCCCAG
rnacentral:lncRNA from 1 species